GCAUGUGGUUUAAUUCGAAGCAACGCGAAGAACCUUACCUAAGCUUGACAUCCCAAUGACAUCUCCUUAAUCGGAGAGUUCCCUUCGGGGACAUUGGUGACAGGUGGUGCAUGGUUGUCGUCAGCUCGUGUCGUGAGAUGUUGGGUUAAGUCCCGCAACGAGCGCAACCCUUGUCUUUAGUUGCCAUCAUUAAGUUGGGCACUCUAGAGAGACUGCCAGGGAUAACCUGGAGGAAGGUGGGGAUGACGUCAAAUCAUCAUGCCCCUUAUGCUUAGGGCUACACACGUGCUACAAUGGGUAGUACAGAGGGUUGCCAAGCCGUAAGGUGGAGCUAAUCCCUUAAAGCUACUCUCAGUUCGGAUUGUAGGCUGAAACUCGCCUACAUGAAGCUGGAGUUACUAGUAAUCGCAGAUCAGAAUGCUGCGGUGAAUGCGUUCCCGGGUCUUGUACACACCGCCCGUCACACCACGGGAGUUGGAGACGCCCGAAGCCGAUUAUCUAACCUUUUGGAAGAAGUCGGCGAAGGUGGAAUCAAUAACUGGGGUGAAGUCGUAACAAGGUAGCCGUAUCGGAAGGUGCGGCUGGAUCACCUCCUUUCUAAAGA
rnacentral:rRNA from 1 species